rnacentral:tRNA from 1 species
GGGCCCGUAGCUCAGCUUGGCAGAGCGUUCGAGCGGGCGCCGCCGGACGUCCGCGACGAGGCUGAUAACCGAAAGGCCGUGGGUUCGAAUCCCACCGGGCCCA